CAGCCAUUCAGGGUCGAAACUCCUCUACCCCUGUGUGGGAUAUGAGUCUCUGCCCCAUCGCUCUGGUUCCUGUCAAUAAACCUCGUGCGAUUGCAGCAAGGACGAUCUCUCAUUUUGAAAUGUCUCCUGCUUCAAUAUGCUUUAUUCCUUCUACAAAGGAGCCAGAAAAGAAGCCAUCUGGGAACAAAAUCAGUCAUGUGGACGGUGAGACGAUACAGUGCAUCAUUGCUUUAAAGUCACACAGCUUCUUGAAUGACUCCCAGAAAGAGCCUUGGUAAGCCAGAUAUAACCCAUGCUAGGACACUAGUUAGCAAAAAGCACUAAGAACCUGGGAAUAAUAAACCCUGUAUCAGAGUUUUCAAGGGUAUCAUGGCUAUACUAUCAGGGUAUUGUAAAAUUGAAUGAUUUUUAGGUCAUUAAAUUAAAUUAAAAUUAAAAGAUACUGUGUAUUAAAUGCUUAAAUCCACACAGAGAAACCAUUUGCACUUGAAAACAGCAGUUAAAAAAAUUAGGUAUGUUGUACUUUCUCUCCCAUUCUUUUCAACAUCUCUAGAUGUUGUUCUAGGUUGGCUCUGGACAUUUGGUGUUGUACACAAAUAUCCAGAUUAUAAUGUUCACCACGGUCCUAAUAGUAACCAUAACUGAAUCUGAUGGAGGGAGUGGAAGGACUUUUCUUUGAGAAGAAUGGGGCUAUGAGUGGACUUUCAGGAGUGCCCAAAGUGUAGCUCAUGACAGCUGCCACAACCAGUGACCAUUGUGCAGACCAAUACAGCAGCAGGGGCUUGCAGAUCUUAAACAUCUUCAACUCCAUCAUCCAAGGCCAUAGCCAGGCAGUCCUACUACUGACACCUAUGCUGGAAUCAACUGGGAGGAGGAAGACAAUUUUGCAACCCCAGCCUCUCAGAUGGCCAGCUUCCUCUCUGACUGCCCUCAAGCCAUUACAUUCUGUUUAGAUUUUCUCUCUUGUUGUUCUGUCUAUACUAAGGCCUUGAAUUCACCAUCUCAGUCCUUGUAGCUAGCUCCACAUUGUAGGAAGAAAGCCCUGUGGGUUCUAUUGAUGGAGUUCAAAUGACAAAUGUGGAUAUUUUCCAGAAGAUCAAAAGUGUUCAGAGUUGUUCAGUUGCUGUAAAUACAUCAUGCAAUUCUAAGUCACUGCAGAGAGAUAAUUUUUCUGCUUCAAGAAACUAUAAGAAACAGUCAUGCUGAUGUGUUUAACCCUUGAGUGAAGAAUUUGUCUCAUCAGUAAUGCUGUAGCCAAGAACAUUCUGGAAAAUGGUAUUAAGGUAUCAGAACCAACUUCUCCCCUUACAUCCUGUUUUAGGGAUUAUUAGAAACUUCUUUGCAUGUACCAGGAACCACUGAAACCCUGAGCAAUGGCAGAGCAGCUGAUAUUGUUAACUUCUUGACUAUUUAUACAUGCUUUGAUAAAUUUGACAAAUAUAUUUACAAUAAGAUUUUAUGGUUUGUAUACUGAUUAUUUUC
rnacentral:lncRNA from 1 species